rnacentral:rRNA from 1 species
UACGGAAGGCAGCAGUGGGGAAUAUUGCACAAUGGGCGCAAGCCUGAUGCAGCCAUGCCGCGUGUAUGAAGAAGGCCUUCGGGUUGUAAAGUACUUUCAGUCGUGAGGAAGGUGUUAAGGUUAAUAACCUUAGCAAUUGACGUUAGCGACAGAAGAAGCACCGGCUAACUCCGUGCCAGCAGCCGCGGUAAUACGGAGGGUGCGAGCGUUAAUCGGAAUUACUGGGCGUAAAGGGCACGCAGGCGGUUAAUUAAGUUGGAUGUGAAAUCCCCGGGCUUAACCUGGGAAUGGCAUUCAAGCUGGUUAGCUAGAGUCUUGUAGAGGGGGUAGAAUUCCAUGUGUAGCGGUGAAAUGCGUAGAGAUGUGGAGGAAUACCGGUGGCGAAGGCGGCCCCUGGACAAAGACUGACGCUCAUGUGCGAAAGCGUGGGGAGCAAACGAGGGAUUAGAUACC